rnacentral:lncRNA from 1 species
AAAAAUUGAAGAAAAGUGAGAUGAAUUUAGGGUUUUGGAGAGAAUGAUGAUGAAGGAGAUUAGGGUUAGCCGCAGGUUUUUGAGAGGUAGGGGAACUGCCGAUACCAAGUUUGUGAAAAGAUGUGAUAAGAAUUGCUGAUGUGUCGAUCCAUGAGUGAAAUAAAAUGCAUUUAAUCCAAAAACAAUCAGUAUGUGUCGAUACAUAUGGGAAUGGAUAGAUCCAUGUCACGAGUUUUUUGUUUUUUUUUUUGUUUUUUUGUUUUUUUAAAAAAAAAAGGUUUAUGUAUCGAUACAAAUGACGAAUGGAUCGAUACAUACUGAACCAAUUUUGACAAAUGUGAAAUGAAGAAGACAUGAAUCGAUA